rnacentral:rRNA from 1 species
UACGGGGGGGCAAGCGUUGUUCGGAAUUACUGGGCGUAAAGGGCGCGUAGGCGGCCUGCUAAGUCACACGUGAAAUCCCUCGGCUCAACCGGGGAACUGCGUGUGAUACUGGCGGGCUUGAAUUCGGGAGAGGGAUGUGGAAUUCCAGGUGUAGCGGUGAAAUGCGUAGAUAUCUGGAAGGAACACCGGUGGCGAAGGCGGCGAUUCUCGGACCGAGAUUGACGCUGAGGAGCGAAAGCCAGGGGAGCAAAGCGGGAUUAAGAA